rnacentral:rRNA from 1 species
UUAAUUGAAGAGUUUGAUCAUGGCUCAGAUUGAACGCUGGCGGCAGGCCUAACACAUGCAAGUCGAACGGUAACAGGGAGCAGCUUGCUGCUCUGCUGACGAGUGGCGGACGGGUGAGUAAUGUCUGGGAAACUGCCUGAUGGAGGGGGAUAACUACUGGAAACGGUAGCUAAUACCGCAUAACGUCUACGGACCAAAGUGGGGGACCUUCGGGC